AAGGGUAUAGCUCAAGUGUUAGAGCACGUGCUUAGCAUGCACAAGGUCCUGGGUUAAAUCCCCAGUACCUCCU
rfam:Camelus ferus unplaced genomic scaffold scaffold2578, whole genome shotgun sequence.